UACGUAGGGGCGAGCGUUGUCCGGAAUUACUGGGCGUAAAGGGAGCGCAGACGGAACUGCAAGUCUGAUGUGAAAGCCCGUGGCUCAACCGCGGGACUGCAUCGGAUACUGUAGAUCUGGAGUGCCGGAGGGGCAAGCGGAAUUCCUGGUGUAGCGGUGAAAUGCGUAGAUAUCAGGAGGAACACCGGCGGCGAAGGCGGCUUGCUGGACGGCAACUGACGUUGAGGCUCGAAAGCGUGGGGAGCGAACAGGAUUAGAUA
rnacentral:rRNA from 1 species